GCGGCGGGCUGAAAUUUCAUCCGAGUUGUUGACAGCCGAUUACAUCACCAGUUUCGGCCUCUGCGUCAAGAUGGCGAUCAUCAUAGGCUUCACAGACUAGAUUGGUAAAAGCCACACCCAGUGGGAUUGUCACCAGCAGGACACCAGGAU